GACGAACGCUGGCGGCGUGCUUAACACAUGCAAGUCGAACGGAAAGGCCCUGCUUUUGUGGGGUGCUCGAGUGGCGAACGGGUGAGUAACACGUGAGUAACCUGCCCUUGACUUUGGGAUAACUUCAGGAAACUGGGGCUAAUACCGGCUAGGAGCUCCUGCUGCAUGGUGGGGGUUGGAAAGUUUCGGCGGUUGGGGAUGGACUCGCGGCUUAUCAGCUUGUUGGUGGGGUAGUGGCUUACCCAGGCUUUGACGGGUAGCCGGCCUGAGAGGGUGACCGGGCACAAUGGGACUGAGAUACGGACCAGACUCCUACGGGAGGCAGCAGUGGAGAGUAUUACACAAUGGGCGGAAGCCUGAUGCAGCAACGCCGCGUGCGGGAUGACGGCCUUCGGGUUGUAAACCGCUUUCGCCUGUGACGAAGCGUGAGUGACGGUAAUGGGUAAAGAAGCACCGGCUAACUACGUG
rnacentral:rRNA from 1 species